GCGACUCUUUUUGGGAACCUUCAUGGUCAGGAGCUGAAAACUGUGGUGUCCACCACGGAGCUGCAGAUGACCAGAGGAACGGUAAGGGCCUGCUCAUCUCACUGUAGAUAAAUAAAACCAUAGAAACCAGCUGAAUGACUGCUGGUUUGUCCAGUUCCUUCACAAGCUGACAGCACGGGCGUUGAUUCGGGACUACGAAGACGGGAGUCUUGAUACGAACGAAGCUCAACACGAGGUACGUUUACGUCUGAGUGUCCUUGCUAUCCAUAUCCUGUCUCAGCUUGACCCGCUUACUCAUGUUUCCAGGAGAAGAAAGCAGAGCUGAAGUCCUUCAUCAUUGAGCUGAGUAGAGAAUGGUCCAUCCUGUCUCAGUUCACCAGCUUUGUGGCCGUCGAGGAGAGGGACUCCGAGCAAGCUGAAGACGGCAUCACCGAUGUCAACAAGCUGAUUGCAGAGGAAGAUGUGGACUUCCUGCCAUACAUUGGCUGGGCCAUCAGUCAGCAGGACGAUGACAUCCUGGUGUCCAACUACUAUCUGUCACUGGAUUUAAAACCUACAGAUUCCAGUUUUGACUGGGAGUCUCCCACUCCUACAGGAGAAGGUUAUGAAGCCGACUUCUUUGAACCUGAUCGUCUGUGUCUCAUGGAACCAGAGCUUCACUGCCUUCCCUCAGCUGUUGGUGCUGAAGCAGCAUCUGCAGCUCUUGGUCUCCGCUUCAAACGUUCUGGUCCAGACUCUCCAAGCCCACCUGCUCCUGGCAUCCAUCUGAACUCUGCUGAUUUUUCUGGAAGUUCGGAGUUCCUCUUUAAACGUCUCACUCCUUCAUACAGCUCGUCUGCACCAUCUUUCAGUUUUGGAUCCACUGCUGCUCCUCCUCCUCCUUUUGCUGCUCAAUCUUCCCAGCCUGCUCCUCCUCCUCAUCCUCCUCAUCCUUUUGCUGCUCAAUCAUCCCAGCCUGCUCCUCUUCCUCCUGUGUUACUAUCCACUGCGGGCCCUCCUCCCCCUUUUGCUGCUCAAUCAUCCCAGCCUGCUCCUCCUCCUCCUUUUGCUGCUCAAUCAUCCCAUCCUGCUCCUCCUCCUCCUUUUGCUGCUCAAUCAUCCCAGCCUGCUCCUCCUCCUGUGUUACGAUCCACUGCCGGUCCUCCUCCUCCUCNNNNNNNNNNNNNNNNNNNNNNNNNNNNNNNNNNNNNNNNNNNNNNNNNNNNNNNNNNNNNNNNNNCCUGCUCCUCCUCCUCCUUUUGCUGCUCAAUCAUCCCAGCCUGCUCCUCCUCCUCCUUUUGCUGCUCAAUCAUCCCAUCCUGCUCCUCCUCCUCCUUUUGCUGCUCAAUCAUCCCAGCCUGCUCCUCCUCCUGUGUUACGAUCCACUGCCGGUCCUCCUCCUCCUUUUGCUGCUCAAUCAUCCCAGCCUGCUCCUCCUCUUCCUCCUGUGUUACGAUCCCCUGA
rnacentral:lncRNA from 1 species